rnacentral:rRNA from 1 species
CAGUAGCCGCGGUAAUACGUAGGUCACAAGCGUUAUCCGGAUUUAUUGGGCGUAAAGCGCGUCUAGGUGGUUAUGUAAGUCUGAUGUGAAAAUGCAGGGCUCAACUCUGUAUUGCGUUGGAAACUGUGUAACUAGAGUACUGGAGAGGUAAGCGGAACUACAAGUGUAGAGGUGAAAUUCGUAGAUAUUUGUAGGAAUGCCGAUGGGGAAGCCAGCUUACUGGACAGAUACUGACGCUGAAGCGCGAAAGCGUGGGUAGCAAACAGGAUUAGAUACCCGAGUAGUCCCUGUCUCUUAUACA